AGCAGUGGGGAAUAUUGCACAAUGGGCGCAAGCCUGAUGCAGCCAUGCCGCGUGUGUGAAGAAGGCCUUCGGGUUGUAAAGCACUUUCAGUCGUGAGGAAGGCGCGGUAAUACGGAGGGUGCGAGCGUUAAUCGGAAUUACUGGGCGUAAAGCGCAUGCAGGUGGUUUGUUAAGUCAGAUGUGAAAGCCCGGGGCUCAACCUCGGAAUUGCAUUUGAAACUGGCAGACUAGAGUACUGUAGAGGGGGGUAGAAUUUCAGGUGUAGCGGUGAAAUGCGUAGAGAUCUGAAGGAAUACCGGUGGCGAAGGCGGCCCCCUGGACAGAUACUGACACUCAGAUGCGAAAGCGUGGGGAGCAAACAGGAUUAGAUACCCUGGUAGUCCACGCCGUAAACGAUGUCUACUUGGAGGUUGUGGCCUUGAGCCGUGGCUUUCGGAGCUAACGCGUUAAGUAGACCGCCUGGGGAGUACGGUCGCAAGAUUAAAACUCAAAUGAAUUGACGGGGGCCCGCACAAGCGGUGGAGCAUGUGGUUUAAUUCGAUGCAACGCGAAGAACCUUACCUACUCUUGACAUCCAGAGAACUUUCCAGAGAUGGAUUGGUGCCUUCGGGAACUCUGAGACAGGUGCUGCAUGGCUGUCGUCAGCUCGUGUUGU
rnacentral:rRNA from 1 species